AUCAGUUCAUCAAUACAAGCUUAUAACUCUCCACAUACAUUUAAUACUCCACAAGAGAACAUAUUUAUAAUACAUUCAAAUUUUGUUUCAAUGACUAGAUGCUAGUGAAAUCGUGAAUGGAGCUGUUGAAAAAUGUGUCACGGCAUGUUCUACAAUCUGCACCAAGGGCUCAAUGAAUGCAGUUGAAACUGCCUAAACAACCAUAUCCUUGAAGAUACCACUUACAUCUUCGGAGUACCACGGCCGAGUAGGUCAGGACUUCUUAUUCGAAUCUGGAUAAGUUACGAGGGUGAGGCUGAUGUGGCAUCAGUGUAGCUGGUAAGUGAGCUAGUAUUGAGGCUGUCGGUGGGACAGAAAGUUUUACUCAGGCCCGAGAUGAUCGGUUUGCAGAUUUACUGACAAGGCUAUUAGUGAGGAAUAUGGGUGGAUAGGUAUGGCUAUGCGAUGUCGUACUCGGAUCACGGGAGGUAGAUUUGGUCAGGAGGUGUUUACCACAACUCUUGAGGAGAUGAUUAGUUCUCCUGAGGGGAUGGUUAUUCCCCUAGAUAUCGAUAGCUGGAGGGGUUGUGGCCCUGAGACUGGCAGAAGAGAUGGUGGUUCUCCUAUAGAGAUGGAUAGUUCUCUUGAGGGGAUGAAUAGUUAAACUGAUAUCGAGAUCUAUAGGAUUGCGAUCUAAGAGUGAGACAGUAUGACUCGAGGACAGUGGUCUGAGAGUGAGAUCGGUAUACCUCGAAGGUGCUGACCUUAGAGUGGAUGAGUUGGGAGCAAAUAUUGUCUAGGACGUGAAUAUAAGCAUAAUGACUAAAUGUAGACUUAGAAGGUUGAUGGUGGUUCAAUUUCAAGACUUGUGUGUGGACCCAUUGUGACGGUGGAAAUGUAUUGUAAUUGGGAGUGUUGUCGGUUUAGUCUGGAACUGAAGUUGAAUCGGUUUAGUCUGGUUGAUUUAGGAGGAGUUGUUAAUGAUACCAAUUAUAUAUGUGAUCAUAUGGUUUAAUUGAUUUUGGAUUAUUGUGUUUUUGAUUUAAUACUCCUAGGUUGAAGGUGUGAAGUGAGUCCAUAACUUGAGCACAUUUGUAGCUAUUUUCGUCUUCCCUUGUUUUGACAUUGGCUUAGAAUUGAGUAAUCUGAUGCCUAAUCAAGUAUUUGUUGAUCUGCAGACAUACACCAAUCCAAAUAAAGAUAGUCCACCUCAUUGGGAACUUUUUUAGGAUAUUGUCAGUUUAUUCUAUGUACCGCUACUUGAAUCAGACAGGAGCGCCAGUUGUUCUGUUUCUCUUCGGCUGUCUGGUGCCUUCGUCCAUCAUCUUCUUGAUACUAAAAACCAUUGAAAGGAAGGGCACUUUCUCAUCAACAGAUUGUAUCUUCUCUUAUCAAUGGACUCAUCACGGCAUUGUACUUCAUCUUAUGGGGAAAAGGUCUCAAGUCUUGUGGACCGCUUAGGUUUAUGCAAACAAGAAGCCACAAGCCUACUGAUUUGCGAAAUCUGCGAAACGAGGAGUUAGCACAACUUGAACGAGAGAACCGAAAAGCAAAAGCCCAGUCAAACGCUAUGGCCGAUGGAAACAACACGGAGACUUGUCAACCCAACCCCCAAGGGAUUGUUGUUCAGCCUCAACAAAGACAGGUCCCACAAGAGUGAAACGAACCUGAUCCGAAUCAACCAGCAAGACGUGUUACUUUGAGGGAUGAAGAAGCUCACAACAGGCUGUUUCUGAAUCGAUAUGUGAUUCAACCUCCUGCUCCUGCGAGACAAGACUACGAGAUUAAGCAUAGUCUCAUCAAUUUGGUUCAGAAUCGUGUGUUUAAUGGAUUAGCAGCAAAGAGCCCUCUAGACCAUAUUGAAGCUUUUGAGAGAUUGGCUAGUACUACGAGGUCUAAUGGAGUUCCGUAUGACUAACUCAUGUUGACUUUGUUCCAAUUCUCCUUAGGAGAUAAGGCUUUGAGAUGGCUAAAUCUCUUGGACCGAGGAUCACUUACCACUUGGGAGCAAUGUAGAGCAGCAUUUUUAAGUUACGAUCAGCUAUGUUAAGGAGCAAGAUUACUACCUUAUCACAAGGUGGUACGA